UAGGCGAAGUCAUUAAUCCUAUGCUGCCUAGAAAGCCCAGUAGCGAGUUGACAUGGUGCCCGUACCCCAAACCAACACAGGUGGACAGGUAGAGCAUAUCAAGGCGAGUGGGAUAACUAUGGUUAAGGAACUCGGCAAAUUUCCUCCGUAACUUCGGGAUAAGGAGGACCCCAGUAGCGUGACGGGACUUGCUCUCCGAGCGUGAAGGGGUGGCACAAAAUUGAGGGAAGCGACUGUUUACCAAAAACACAGCAGCGUGCUAAGCCGUAAGGCGCUGUAUACGCUGUGACUCCUGCCCGGUGCUGGAAGGUUACGGGGAUGGGUUAGUCCUUUGGGACGAAGCUCUGAACCUAAGCCCCAGUAAACGGCGGCCGUAACUAUAACGGUCCUAAGGUAGCGAAAUUCCUUGUCGGGUAAGUUCCGACCUGCACGAAUGGAGUAACGACUUCCCUACUGUCUCAACCAUAGACCCAGCGAAAUUGAAGUACGAGUAAAGAUGCUCGUUAGCUGCAGAAGGACGGAAAGACCCCGUGGACCUUUACUAUAACUUGAUGUUGUGUUUUGUCAUAUGUUGUGUAGGAUAGGUGGGAGACAAGGAAGCAUGGACGCUAGUCUGUGUGGAGUCAUCGUUGAAAUACCACCCUGCAUAUGGUGAGGCUCUAACCUAGACCCGUUAUCCGGGUUGGGGACAGCGUCAGGCGGGUAGUUUAACUGGGGCGGUUGCCUCCUAAAGAGUAACGGAGGCGCCCAAAGGUUCCCUCAGCCUGGUUGGCAAUCAGGCGUCGAGUGCAAUGGCAAAAGGGAGCUUGACUGCGAGACCUACAAGUCGAGCAGGAGCGAAAGCUGGGCAUAGUGAUCCGGCGGUUGCGUGUGGAAGCGCCGUCGCUCAACGGAUAAAAGGUACCCCGGGGAUAACAGGCUAAUCUUGCCCAAGCGUCCAUAGCGACGGCAAGGUUUGGCACCUCGAUGUCGGCUCAUCGCAUCCUGGGGCUGAAGCAGGUCCCAAGGGUUGGGCUGUUCGCCCAUUAAAGCGGUACGCGAGCUGGGUUCAGAACGUCGUGAGACAGUUCGGUCCCUAUCCUCUGUAGCCGUAGGUGAAUUGAGGAAAGCUGUCCCUAGUACGAGAGGACCGGGACGGACGCAGCUCUCGUGUGCCAGUUGUCCUGCCAAGGGCAUGGCUGGUUAGCGACCUGCGGAAAGGAUAACCGCUGAAAGCAUCUAAGCGGGAAGCCUCUUCCAAGAUGAAUUCACCCACAGGGUUAACCUGGUAAGGCCCGUGGUAGACCACCACGUUGAUAGGCCGGAAGUGUAAGCGUGGCAACACGUUCAGCUGACCGGUACUAAUCGGCCGAGGGCUUGAA
rnacentral:rRNA from 1 species